UAAUUUGGGAAUUAAUGUCAAUUUCGUGAUCACGAUUUAAUUUGUUUGUUGUGGGAUUGUCCCUUAGCUGUAUUUUAGGACCUUUAAUGUAAUGUGCAGUCUUACUGCACAGGCUUGAAAAUACCUAGCAGGUAACUGUGCUAUGUGUAUAUCAUGAACUUUCCAAUUAUAAAAGCUUUAUUUUAUGCUAUUCGUAACAGUUUUGGAUGACCAACUCUAUUAGGGUGUUUUUGGAAUGCAAACUGACUACUUGCAGGUUGUUGCAGGAUAUCCAACAGACCUAGGGACAAGCAGGCAAAUUUCUUUACAUUAAAUGUAAGCUUGUUUAUGAUAAUGAAUUUUACUGAACUUUUGUACUUUUACCUUCAAGAGUCUAUCAUAAGCUUAGAAGUCUAUUUUCUUUGACUAUAGCUCCUUUUAAAAAGUACAGCAUGGUAAGAAGUGUCUGGUGGUAUGAAGUUCUGCUGAAUUUCCAGUUCUAGAUAUUUUUAAUCAUGGGGGUUUAUACCUUCACUGUGGAUAAAAGAUGUCUCAUCUGAGACAGGCUGAUGAAUACGGAAGAAAGCGUAGUGUGCUUAGUGACAGAAGUGUCUGGGGGUUUUAGUAGUACUCUAAACAGAUGUGAGCUGAAGUUAAAGGAGAAGUAAAUAAUUGUUUUUAUUUCUUUUGCUCCUUUCUGAUUCAUCUGCUAGAGAGGAACCUCCCAUCCCGCUUUAUGGUACUUUUUAUAGGUUGGCAUCUUCAUGUAUAUGCAUUACUGUAGAUAUUAACAUACCUGCUGGUAGGAGACCUGGAACAAUGACUUGAAAAAUGGAAGCAGGUUAGCUGUUACCUGUAGAUACCAAGGUGGUUUGAAGAGAAACCACAAUCUUUAUUUGACUGCUGGAGAAGACUGAAUAAAAGGUUCAUUUUAGUGGUUAUGUGUGAAAUUCCAGUAGUGAAAAGUUGCUGUGGUGGUUUUUGUAUUUGCCACUGAAAUCUUUUCUAAUAAUCUAAAGAUGUUUAACUCUGUCACUUCCAAUCCCAAAUUCAUCUAGGAGAUCAGUGGCAAAAAAAGGUUAUAAACCCCACUGCCUAAUCCAUUGCUAUGUCCAUCUUAUAUUUUUGAAUAAGUGAAGUGCAGGAGGAGAGGUGUUCUGUUUGAAUAGCACAGGUGUUAGCCUGAAUUAGCAAGUGUUUCCCAUCUCUGUCAUGGAGAGACAGACAUGACCAUCCAUUACUGUUCUCCUAGGUUUCCUUUCUGUAGGUAGCAUUACUUGUGGGAGGUAUAGGCAACAUACUAAGCUCAGUAAAAUGUGCAGUUUAUUCUCAUAAAAGUGGUUUUUAGCAUAGGUGUUCAGUCAUGACCAACAGUAUCAGCUGCAGGUAAAAUUUUAUCUGGAAACUAGGCUGGUGAAACCACCUUAAGGCAGGGGAAGGGUUCAGUGCUGAGCACAAAACAGUCUUAUCGACUUCAUCUUUGCAGUCAGAAGCACACAAUUGUGGACCACUGUGUAUCAGAGGAUUCUUGUAUUGUGCCCUGAGUGAUAUGCAGUGUGUGAUAUACCAUGCUCUGUAAUAGCUGAAGAUGCAUUGUAUCCAAGGUCUAGGAAAGUAAACUUUACAUCUGGUAUCACCUGAACUGGAUUCCGCUUUUCUGAGGAACUAGAUUUUGGUGAAACGUCGUGAUCCACUUCUGGUUAUAAAUACUUUCAAAAAAGAUGUUUGCAAGCAUGAGAAGGAGCCAGAAGAAUAUAAGGAAACAUGGCUAGAAUCCAAGGCGAGAUUGGCAAAGCAAGCGGAUGGCAGCAGAAAAGAAGAAUAGAAAAUGGAAGGAUCAUCUGCAGAAGGUGUGGAAAAAUGGAAAGCCUUCACAACUUUUUGGAUUGGAAGUGGUGCUGGAGAGAAACAGUAGACCUUCAGAUUCUGCUAAGAAAGGGCAAAAGGAGGCUGGAGAGAAAAGCAAAGACUUGAUAGGCCGAAAUGGAAGCAUAUUCAAUACCUAUAUGGUGUGACGUGUACAUCAGAUAGAAAUGGAAAAUGCAGUUCACUUGGUGUACUGGGUGUUCGCUGCAAUCGGCAGUACACACAGAAAAGAAGGACAGUAACCUGGCUUAAAUUGCAAGCCAUAAAAACUUACGAACUUCCACUUACUUUUCCUAUUUUAAGGAACAGCAAGUUGUUUCUUUAUUUUCUGCUUCUUUUACACUUUCUCGACUUUGCUUUGCUGAAUUUUUAUCUUCUUAGUCAAAUGACAGAUAUUUUACACGUUUUUCAUUUGUUUGGUCCUGCUUUAUAAAAGUAGCGGCAUUUUAAAGAAAAAUUACAUCUUAAGGGGUAUGCAAACGCUUUGCAACCCCUCUCAACAGUAUUUCAUACUGAUAUGAAGCUAAUAUGCUUUGUAGUGUUUCUAAGAGCCACCUUACUAUUAAAGAAUAGUGAUAACAGAUAUGUGACAGAUUAAUUGACAUCAAACCUUCCCAGUUCCAGUGAACCUGUAUUGCUAAGGAUAUUGUACUGAUCAAAUAAAUACUGGAUAGAUUACUA